rnacentral:rRNA from 1 species
GACGAACGCUGGCGGCGUGCUUAACACAUGCAAGUCGAGCGGAAAGGCCACUUCUGUGGUACUCGAGCGGCGAACGGGUGAGUAACACGCGAGUAAUCUGCCCCUCACUUUGGGAUAGCCACCGGAAACGGGGAUUAAUACCGGCUAUGACCAUAUGUCGCAUGGCGUGUGGUGGAAAGUUCUUCGGUGAGGGAUGUGCCCGCGGCCUAUCAGCUUGAUUGUGAGGUAAUGGCUCACCAUGGCCUCGACGGGUAGCCGGCCUGGGAGGGUGACCGGUCACACUGGGACUGAGAGACGGCCCAGACUCCUACGGGAGGCAGCAGUGGGGAAUAUUGGACAAUGGGCGGAAGCCUGAUCCAGCAACGCCGCGUGAGGGAUGACGGCCUUCGGGUUGUAAACCUCUUUCAGUACCGACGAAGCGCAAGUGACGGUAGGUACAGAAGAAGCACCGGCCAACUACGUG